UUCAUCUCCCAUGGCGGAGGAGGGCGGCCACUCCCUCCCCGUGCGCGGCCAGCCCACGAGAGACCGACGUGCCUGCCCUUGCUGCCCUUAGCGCUCCCCCCUUCCCACCGGAGCAGCAGCUCUCACGGCUGCCGGAGCCGCAGCCGCCGUGGGUAUCGGAGGGCCGGCACCAGCAGCUUCUGAUGGCCGACAUCGACAGCUUUUGCGGGCGCGGCGGAGGCCGAUGUGGGGCACGACUUGGGGCGGCGGCGACGGAGCUCUCUGGUGCGCCUCCCUACCGACCUGCCAUAUGCAGCAGCGGCGCCGGCCACGAGCAGCAGCGGCGACGGGAGCGAGCAGCGGCGGGGACGGGAGCGAGCAGCAACGAGGACGGAAGAAAGCAGCAGCAGCCGUUCACUGGAGCGAGCAGCAGCCGCGCCGGCCGCGCGUGCGCACGAGCAGCGGUGCCGGCGGCCAGGCGGCCAUGUUGUAGGUGAGGUGCUGCUGGCAAGCUCGAGCUCCACCGGCCAGCGGACAUGAGUCAACGGUCAGAGGAUGAAGAUGGAACAUUAUCCUCUUCUUUUUUAAUGUGAAAAAAUGACCUUAUCCUCUUAGGCUCUUUUACAGUGUAGUCCCUUCUAUUAUGUCUAUUUGCAAUCCGUUAUAUUGUGUCAAGUCAGCCUGUCCAGCGGGUCCCAGCUGUCAUAAACAUGAUUAAAACGAGCGAAACGGAUGACUAGUGUUUUUUGCAAAAAAUUAGCCUCAGAAUUAGUGUUUUUUGGCACAAAACUGUAGAAGUGUGGUUUCUGCAACACUAGCCUUCAAUGUCGAUGUUUUUUGCAAUUCACUCCUGCCAUGGUGAUGAUGUCGAACAAAACAACCUUCAUCGACAGGUACAAAUAAUUUAGGUUCUGUUUUGCCUUGUGUUAUCUUGUCUCUAUUUUUUUAUUCAUGUACCUUUGUAUAGUUGUAUCCCCUUUUAAACAGUAGAGAUUUAUUGGCCAAGAGAAACUCUUGUUACAUUUGAGGCUAAUAUCUUGCUAAUUUCAGUUAUGUUAUUCUGAAACCAAGACCUUGGAAAAUACCGGUUAGUGAUCCUAACAAGUAUUUGUGUGCAGUAUAUUAAGAUUGUUAUGUCUUGCUUUAAAUCUUCCUGUAUAUAAGAAAAUUUAAAGUAGCACCGGAAUUUCUUAAACAAACCAGCCAACAAAUAUAUCAGCAUAUUCACGGUUACGACAACUCACAAAUAGAAUUUUUUUUGCUGGCAAUAUCUACCUAAUACGACUGAAGGUAAAUGUUCUUGAUCUGUGCCGCUUGGAUAAGAGAUUUGAUGAUGCUAAUUGAGAACUUUACCUGGCCAAUAAUCCGUGACAUUGUGAUGGUUGCAUAGAUUAGAAAAUGAAUGGACACUGUAAUUUUUUGCCAUCUUAAUGUUAAAUAAUUACCCUGUACCUUAGUACCUAUAGAUAAUAUUUUUGUAUAGCAAAGGUGAUGGCUAGAUCAUAAAAUUGGCGGAUUUGCAUGCCUGAUUUGAAAGUACAAUUCGUACUCGUAGUGAGAUUUGUUAUCGCUCGAUAUAUCAGAUGCUUACAUUCUUGGGUGUUCAUUGUAUAUCUUAUUACGAUGAAGACAUACUUCCCAUUGUGUUAUCCUGCUAAUGAAUGUAUUCAAUUUGUAGUGUAGUGGCUAAUUUCAUGAACUAAAUAGGUGUUAUAGAAUUUUUUUCUUUUCAUUUUAAUUGUGUAUAUCAGUAUAUGUAGUUCUGCACAACACGCCUUCUUGCUGAAUUAUAUCAACAGAAGCCAGUAUGCUAAAAUUAACAAAGCUCUUAUGCGACAUUUACUUAUGUAUGUGGAUCAAUCUAAACAAGUUUUUUUGGUUAGUUUGUCUAUUUUUUCAGGGAUAAACUGCCUUAACCGAAGCAGCAUAUGUUGGAGAAUGUAGAUUCAACUUUCGUUUCAGUAGCUUUGGAGGUAUCCUAUACGACUAUGAGUGAUAUACUCUCCUGUCUCCUCCCUCCAUUUUACUUGAGUUAACCCCUGUACGCACAUGUCUACGUCUGCCUUCAGGACAAUUGCAGCAAGGAAGUAAGCCAAAGAGAAAAUGUCGGUGGAUUCAAAGGCCUUACCAGGUCCACCCAUGAGAUGCAGAAUCGAGAGGAGACCUAGAAAAACUUCUUCUCAAUUGAGAAAACACUCAUUUCUGGCAUAAUCCGGUAAUCCCACUCAAGGAGAAGCAUCAUCACUUAACCUGUUCAUAUUACCCCCAGAAGAAUUAUCAUACUUGCUGGCUCCUCCUGGCCAGGAAGGAUUCUGAUCAAGGAUUUGUUGGAGGUUUCCCAGAACGCACAUCAUUGAGAGGCAGAACUUCUUUGUUGCCCCCACCAUCUCUGAUCAAGACUUGUUACCACCAUUUAUUUGUGCAAUACCUACAGUUAAUAACACAAUGAAAUAAGCUUUUUUUUGCGGGAACACAAUGAAAUAAGUUAGCUUUACAUUAUA